rnacentral:rRNA from 1 species
CUGACGGUAGUCGUAUGCUCGUCUCCGAGACUAAGCCAUGCAAGUCCAAGUACACGUCCUUGAACGACGGAAACUGCGAACGGCUCAUUAAAUCAGUUGCGAUCUACUCGGCGUUCCGCGCCGCCGGAUAACCGUAGUAAUUCUAGGGCUAAUACGUGCGAAGCGCCCGAAGCCGCGAGGCGACGGGCGUUCUCGCCGGAUGUAGGAACCGACCCGGGGACCGCCGGGGCAACCCCGGCGCCCCCCGAGACGGGGCGAACCACGGUGAAAUGACGGAUCGUCGGCCCCGCGCCGGCGACUCGCCGAAUGAGUUUCUGACCUAUCAACUCGAGACGGCGGGGUAGAGGCCCGCCGCGGUUAACGACGGGUAACGGGGAAUCAGGGUUCGAUUCCGGAGAGGGAGCCCGAGAAACGGCUACCACUUCCAAGGAAGGCAGCAGG